UACUUACCUGGACGGGGUCAACUCGUGAUCAAGAAGACGAGUGGCCUAGGCUAGUGAAUUCCAUUGCACAUAACGGAAGGGUGCUUAGCUUAAGGUCUUCCCUUGUGGAAGAGCCUGCGUCAUUAUUUGUGGCAGAGGGGGUUUGCGUUCGCGCAGCCCCUACCAUUCCCAGUAGUUCAAUCUUU
rnacentral:snRNA from 1 species